rnacentral:rRNA from 1 species
UACGUAGGGUGCAAGCGUUAAUCGGAAUUACUGGGCGUAAAGCGUGCGCAGGCGGUGAUGUAAGACAGGUGUGAAAUCCCCGGGCUUAACCUGGGAACUGCAUUUGUGACUGCAUCGCUGGAGUGCGGCAGAGGGGGAUGGAAUUCCACGUGUAGCAGUGAAAUGCGUAGAUAUGUGGAGGAACACCAAUGGCGAAGGCAGCCUCCUGGGAUAACACUGACGCUCAUGCACGAAAGCGUGGGGAGCAAACAGG